rnacentral:lncRNA from 11 species
CUUUAUUUUUCUUUUCUUUUUGUUGUAUCAACCUAGAGCCGUGGAUGAUGGGUUGUGUUGUCAAAUUUCGAGGUUGGGGGGGCCUGUAGUUUUGUUGUUUUGUGGGUCGCCGUGAUGCCAUCACUCUUUUAUAUAUAUAGAUGGAUAAAAGCAAUUAUUCCCCUCUCUCUAAUUAGGACUUUAUUUUUCUUUUCUUUUUGUUGUAUCAACCUAGAGCCGUGGAUGAUGGGUUGUGUUGUCAAAUUUCGAGGUUGGGGGGCCUGUAGUUUUGUUGUUUUGUGGGUCACCGUGAUGCCAUCACUCUUUUAUAUAUAUAGAUUAAUUAUAUCUUUGGAUUUGUGCUAUCACCAGAAACUAGAAUGGCUCCUUUAUAUCAAUGUAGCAGACAUAUGAUGGAUA